GGUCUUGCAAAGCUGAUGGCUCAUGCAAGCACAGAACAAGUCCGGCAUCGAAUCUACUAUCUCUAGGAGACAAAUGGUGUCAGUGGAGGGCUGUCACACAUGGGAUGAAGUCGGCAGGAGGCUAACCAGGCAAUGCUGCACACGGGGACACAGGACCUAUCACGGUGUCCCAGAUCGAGUGAACAGCGGUCUAACUCAGGGCUAACUCCAGUCUCUUCAGGGGGAAAAGCCAAGUUCCCAAGAACAAAACCUCACAUCCUUUGAAGCCAGGGCCCCAGCCCCUCUCAUCCUCUCCUUGCUCUGGUCCCUCCCUCUGACAAUAAUGCCAGCCCUUAGAAGUAGCCCCAAGGCCCCUUCCAAAGAAGAUGAAGGGACACAGACAAGUCCUCCUGGAGUGUAGUAACACUAACCAUUUGGCAAGGACAUGCCCCAUGCCUCACCUGCCACCAGGAUCCUGCCAGAACUGUGGACAAGCAGGACACAGGAGAAUUAGCUGCCCCUCUUUGCCUUGCCAAGGGAACUUUUUUGCAAUGACUGCUCUAGUAAGUCAACCAUCUGUGUCUCAUGGCAAAAAACUGGAAUGAAAAGGAAAAAAAGAACCAAAGUUUAUGCAAGUUGUGAGAGUCUAAGAAAUAAUUUAAGAUUUCCAGUCAACUGAAGACUACAAACUGCUCCAAACAUGCCAGCCUUGGUGAUCCUGUGGAACUAGUGAGCCCUAGACUUGCUGAAUGCUGAUGUAAACCAAAUACUUCUGAUGGAAUUUCCUACUGCCUUGGACCAGCAUUCCAGAUCACUCCAAAGUAUCCUGCAUUUUGCUAGCCCCAGAUGGUACUGUAGGGGGUAGCCAUUCCAGCUUUGGUCUGGAAGUUCCAACCCCCACUGAGGUUUUGGUAACUAUCACGCCCACAAGGCGGGGCCAAGGGAGGGCCUAAAGACCGAGAUCUGACAUGCCAUGCUCUCUUGUUGCUGGGAGCCCGGACGCUAGAGGUGGAUGGAGGAGAGUUCUCCAGAGAACAUCACCAACUACUGCUGCAUCUUUCCCAGAACCCUCAACCUACCUAUUCCUUCAUUUGUAAGUUACACCAUUAAAUAAAUCUCC